UUUGACCGACCCCAACCACAGCGGCCGAUCCGGAUCCCGGCCUUGCCCGUAGGUCGCGAUAAUCGCCUGGGCCUC
rnacentral:antisense_RNA from 1 species